GCCAGAUUUCUGGAUAAACGGGCCGCUCCAUCUCGAGUGGGAUGAAUGCCGUCCCAACUAAUCAGACCAGGCUUGCCCCAAAAUGACUUCCAAUUAUCAAUGAAGCCCACGCCGUUUUGCGGACACCACCUCGACAGCCAGCGGUUGAAUGAUGAGAUACGGCUACACAUCUCAUCAGUUGUCUGAUCAGGCAGGAGACCAGAGAAAACUACGGAGUCCGACAUGGUUUUGGCAUAUUCACACACCGAUUCCACGUUCAAUUUAGUGACUUCCGACUGGCGGCGUCGGGAGUCAUUAACGCCGACAUGUAUUACAAUCUUACGGAAUUUACGUUUAGCCUUUGCCAGCAGUUUUAAACUACCUUUGAUGUCGCCCGCUCUGGCCCCCGGAAGACACUGAACUGUGGCCGCUGACUUCGCUAAUUUCACAUUUCGGACUACAGAGUCUCCAAUCACAAGAGCGUCGGGCUCAGCAGGUGUGUUGCUGAGAGGGGCAAAUUUGUUUGAAAUGUGAAUAUGGUGGUCUAACGUGGGCUUCUUAGGCCUACUGCUAUGCUUCCCUUUCACAGUGACCCAAGCACUACUACAUCCCGGCUGCUCGGGAUUCGCCGGGGGGGAGGCUAAGCUAGGUCGACCCGCACCGGCUACCGUGUCCUGGCUGGCUACCGCUACACUAGCAUCGGUGCGGAGCCGCUUUUCUAACUCUGUAAUCCUCGCCUCCAGAGCUAAGAAUAAACUACACUUAAAGCAGGUAUCGUUAUCGUCUAAAGAGGACGAGGAGUAACUAAACAUCUGACACACUGAGCAGAAGCGAGCAGGAGAGGCAGGAGACCGGGGGGAAGCCAUCAUUAGCAAGUGUAGCUAAGAGAAGCUGAGCUAAGAGAAGCUAGGAGCUAGUAAAGUAAAUGAUCAGAGAGAUCACCCGGAGUGGAGAUAAAGACGGUGCUUGGUGAAAACUAUCAGAAAUACUUACAGACUUUUUGAACAAACAGAUGUACUGAUAGAUUACAGAGAGAAAAUAACCCAAAAUAGCAAGAGCGCUUUCAGGAGGAACAAAACGCUACACACAGUUCAACAACAAGGAAGGGAAUGAAGCAAUGCGCACGCUCACCAGUCAGGAGGAGGAGUCCACGAAUCCUUUAGGCAUACUGAUGUGCGGCCUCGGGGGCGAGGCUUCCAAUAUCUCGUGGACUGGGAGGGGUACGGUCCAGAGGAGCGGUCCUGGAUCCCCUGCUCCCUCAUCCUGGACCAUCAACUCCUUGACGACUUCUACACCGCUCACUCCAAGAAACCCGGCAAAACGCCAAGAGGCAUUCAUUGAGAGGGGGGUACUGUGGUGAGACGCCUCCUCCUUUUGUUUUAUUUUGGCUGGACUUCCUGUGUUUCCGUGUUCGCCUGGUCUGGCUUUACUCUCUUCCAGAGCUUCCUCCCCUCCCCCGGUUGCUGAGGCUGAGUGAGACUACACACCUGCUCUUCAUCUACAAUCAAGGCACUUUAAGAAGCCAGCAGCCCUCAGUCUCAACACCUGAGUAUUGUCUUCACUUCCAAGUGGUAUAGACGUGUCUCCUGGCCUCCUUCCUUUGAAAUUAGUAUUCGUAUUCUGCUCCAGAUUCAUUGUAUGUUCACUCACUUCCCUCUCCUCUGUUUUUCCUGCAGUGUCUCCAGCCCACACGACAGCCAGCCAACCAGCCUCCCGGACUUCCUCUUUUUUGCCUUUAAACCUGAGUUUGAACAUUAAAAUUACACCUUAAGUUGAUCUCUGUCUCUGUGUCUGCUUCUGGGUCCUCACAACUCACCAGUCACGCCACACUUUUGGC